GACGAACGCUGGCGGCGUGCUUAACACAUGCAAGUCGAACGAAGUGGCGAACGGGUGAGUAACGCGUAAUCAACUUGCCCUUCAGAGGGGGACAACGGUUGGAAACGACUGCUAAUACCGCAUACUGAAGGAGGGGAUUGCGUCUGAUUAGCUAGUUGGAGGGGUAACGGCCCACCAAGGCGAUGAUCAGUCGCCGGUCUGAGGAGAUUAACUGCCAACUUGGGACUGGGACACGGCCCAGACUUCUACGGGAGGCAGCACUGUGGAAUCUUCCGCAAUGGACGAAAGUCUUACGGAGCAACGCCGCGGGUGUGAUGACGGCCUUCGGGUUGUAAAGCUCUGUUAAUCGGGACGCGGUACCGGAAUAGAAAGCCACGGCUAACUACGUGCCAGCAGCCGCGGUAAUAC
rnacentral:rRNA from 1 species